UACAGGGGGUGCAAACGUUGCUCGGAAUCAUUGGGCGUAAAGCGCACGUAGGCGGUUCGUUAUGUCGGAUGUGAAAGCCCUUGGCUUAACCGAGGAAGUGCAUCCGAAAACUGGCGAGCUAGAGUACGAAAGAGGAUCGCGGAAUUCCCGGUGUAGAGGUGAAAAUUCGUAGAUAUCGGGAGGAACACCGGUGGCGAGGGCGGCGAUCUGGGUCGAUACUGACGCUGAGGUGCGAAAGCGUGGGGAGCAAACAGG
rnacentral:rRNA from 1 species